CGAGGCUGGGGCAGCGGGCGGCAGCACUCUGGGCGGUGCUGGUGCCCAGCCCGGAGUGGAGAGGCGAGGCGGGAAAGUAAUUAGAAACAGUUGUACAAGCAGAUGGUUUAUUUUGACAUUAAAAAAAAAAGUCAGGUUCGCAGAUUUGAGAAAAAUCGUUUCUUUCUUUCUUCAAGUAGAGGCCCCAGAAGUACUGACAAGAGAAUAUUUGAGCUGGCUGAUGCUAAAGGGGCCAUUCAAGGAAUGCUGCAAGUUGGAGAGGAGACGGGGCUCCUGGUGACGCCUGCCCCCGAAGGAUCAGGAUGGGGAAAGGAAUCGCUCUGCCCAGUGGCCUUCCAAGGAUAACUGCAAAAUACUCUAUGUAUUCAUAAAAGAUGCUUUAUGUUUGGACACUGAUAUCUUCAUAAUGCAGGAUCCCUCAACUCACAGGCAGCACAGCAGGAGGU
rnacentral:lncRNA from 1 species